UGCAAGUCGAGCGGACAGAUGGGAGCUUGCUCCCUGAUGUUAGCGGCGGACGGGUGAGUAACACGUGGGUAACCUGCCUGUAAGACUGGGAUAACUCCGGGAAACCGGGGCUAAUACCGGAUGGUUGUUUGAACCGCAUGGUUCAAACAUAAAAGGUGGCUUCGGCUACCACUUACAGAUGGACCCGCGGCGCAUUAGCUAGUUGGUGAGGUAAUGGCUCACCAAGGCAACGAUGCGUAGCCGACCUGAGAGGGUGAUCGGCCACACUGGGACUGAGACACGGCCCAGACUCCUACGGGAGGCAGCAGUAGGGAAUCUUCCGCAAUGGACGAAAGUCUGACGGAGCAACGCCGCGUGAGUGAUGAAGGUUUUCGGAUCGUAAAGCUCUGUUGUUAGGGAAGAACAAGUACCGUUCGAAUAGGGCGGUACCUUGACGGUACCUAACCAGAAAGCCACGGCUAACUACGUGCCAGCAGCCGCGGUAAUACGUAGGUGGCAAGCGUUGUCCGGAAUUAUUGGGCGUAAAGGGCUCGCAGGCGGUUUCUUAAGUCUGAUGUGAAAGCCCCCGGCUCAACCGGGGAGGGUCAUUGGAAACUGGGGAACUUGAGUGCAGAAGAGGAGAGUGGAAUUCCACGUGUAGCGGUGAAAUGCGUAGAGAUGUGGAGGAACACCAGUGGCGAAGGCGACUCUCUGGUCUGUAACUGACGCUGAGGAGCGAAAGCGUGGGGAGCGAACAGGAUUAGAUACCCUGGUAGUCCACGCCGUAACGAUGAGUGCUAA
rnacentral:rRNA from 1 species